GGACAGCCAACGGCUGUCCGUGCAUGCUGGGAGUUGUAGUCUUGCAGCAGCUAUUGCUUAUAUACAGCUAUAGAGUACUUGGUGAAUUCCUAUAUAUAACGCUAUAUAAUGAUGGUUCUUCUCCUCCACAGACUUGAAGAUGGAUUUACUUAUCCUGGGGGUGGGGCUGAUCUGGGCGGCCUUGAUAAUGAUUAUUCUAGUGCUGUAUUUUUGCACCCGAAGGAGGAAAUAAAGUACUCCAGACUGGAAGAGGUGGUAGUGGAGGUGAAAGAAGGGACCGAAAAAGAAAAAAAAGCAGAUGACCUGAAGCAGAUGGAGGCGGACGGCGCAGAGUGAUCUGAUCUGCAGUGAAUGCGAACAGCAGGGAGUUUGGGGAAAGUGAAAAAAACAACAAAAAGGAGUAAAAAAAAUCUAAAAUAUAUAAAGAUAAUUUAAAAAAUAUAAAAUAAUCUGAAAGUAAUAAAAAAUAUAUAAAAUAAUCUAAAAAUAUAUGAAAAAAUAAAUAAAUAAGAAAAGUUAUGGUAGUAUGUGUGUAUGUUUGUGGGUGUGGGGACUAAGCUCCCAAUAGGGGUGAUGGGGAAAGUGUUGGGGGGGGGUGGUAAAGAUUAAAGGGGUCCCCCGGCCCUAAGACAUCUUAUCCCCUAUCCAAAGGUCGCUGGGGACCCCUGCAAUCUCUCAUGCAGGCACCCACCUGUGGCAGCUGCACAGAGCGAUGUACGCUCCGUGUCUGAAGGGUCAUGGCUACGGGGCCGUAGUUUUCUGACCUCACGACUAUGCCCCCUUGUGACGUCACACCUCGCCCCGCCCUCAAUGCAAGUCUAUGGGAGGGCGUGUUGAUGCGCAAUGUGCGAGUAUACUGCCCAUGCGUGUGGCAACUCACACAUCGCAGCAGUGUGGCUGUUCUGAACAGGCACAUCUGAGUCACCCAGCAGGAGUCCAUCGGUGGCGUAAAAUACGCUGUGGAUCUUCUCGACUGAACAUACCCUUAACCCCUUAAGGAUGGCGGGCGUAUGCAUACGCUCCCCUUUUAAAGUACUUAAGGACUGAGGGCGUAUAGGUACGGCGGGAACCGGUCCGGGAUGCCUGCUGAAAUCAUUCACCAGGCAUCUUGGCACAUCGCAAAGGGGGAUCCUGAGACCCCCACAUGUUAGCGAUCGCUGCAGAUCGCCGGUAAAUACUAACCAGUGAUCUGCGGCAGUUCCGGGUCAUCUGGGUCAGGUGUGACCCAAUGACCCAGAUAAUGAUGAUGACCGGUGGUGUAAUAUACACCACCAAUCAUCAUCCAUACAGUACUGGGGGGCGGCACUGUUGCCACCCUCCAGUACAGCAGUGAUUGAGCGGCCGCAGUGAUCGCACAUAUCACUGCAGUAUGGGGAGGGGGAGGUGGGUGCAGGAGCAUGUUGCUCCAUUCUGCCCACCAUUUCCUAGAGAUCUGGUGUGCAGGACGGAGCCCUGUACUGCCAUUGCCCCCCCUCACACUCCAAAAAGUGUUAAAAAGUGCCCCCUUGCCCCCUAAUUUAGAUCAGACCCUCAAAUGAAUGCAGAUCCUAGAUUUGAACCCCUUUAUUAAUUCAGAGCCCCCAUUAGACACCAGAUCAGACCCCGAAAUGUAGAGUAUUUGAUGAAUUCCUAUAUAUAACUCUAUAUAAUGAUGGUUCUUCUCUUCCACAGACUUGAAGAUGGAUUUACUUAUCCUGGGGGUGGGGCUGAUCUGGGCGGCCUUGAUAAUGAUUAUUCUUGUGCUGUAUUUUUGCACCCGGAAUAAUAAUAAGGAGGAAAUAAAGUACUCCAGACUGGAAGAGGUGGUAGUGGAGGCAAAAGGAGGGAGCAAAAAAGAAAAAAAAGCAGAUGACCUGAAGCAGAUGGAGGCGGACGGAGCAGAGUGAUCUGAUCUGCAGUGGAUGCGAACAGCUGGGAGUUUGGGGAAAGGGAAAAAUAAAAAAAGGGAGUAAAAAAAAAAUCUGAAAUACAUAAAAAGAAUAAAAAAAAUAUAAAAUGAUCUGAAAAUAAUCAAAAAAUAUAAAAUAAUCAAAAAAUAUAUGAAAAAAAAAAUAAAAUAAAAAAAUAAGAUAAGUUGUGGUAGAAUGUGUGUAUGUUUGUCGGCAUGGGGCCCUAAGACAUCUUAUCCCCUAUCAAAAAGUCGCUGGGGACCCCCACAAUCUCUCAA